rnacentral:lncRNA from 1 species
AAAGCCUUAGAUCCUGGCCUUCCUGGGGGAGGGGAUGUGGACAGGGCGGGUCUUUGGAAAUGCAGAUGAGUCGUCUCCCGCUGCUGGUCUCCUGGGUUGAACUUUAGUGACUCAGCCACCCUCACCCCACCCCCACCCAUUCCACAGUGAGGGCCGCCUUGUCAGCUGGGAAAGGGGGGGGGGGGACACAGCAUUUCUGUGACUCCCUUUCUAUCUAGUAGACCCUGUUGGUAUUGCAUUUGGCCAAUCCAUUCUCUCUGAACCUACAAACUGUGGAAUUGCCCUAACAGAACGUCCGAAUUUACAGGUCUUGGCCGGAGACCGGAGCCAUGUCUGUGUUAUCCCCACUGUAGACAAUCCUUGCUUCCUCUGGACAUCUGGAGCAGGCCCAAUUUGACUGAGAGCCUUCCCCCACUAAGGUAGGUAAGAGCCCUUUCCCCAAGUUCAGAGAACUGUUGCCGGGCUUUGACCUGCAGCCUUCGAAGGGCGGCUUGGGAUCCCCAAACCUGCUGGGCUGGUUCUGCAGCCCCUCCCCCACGCUGAUGUGGCGGUUGUGUGUGUGAAAUGGGCGGCCUGCUGGGUCCAUCCAGCCCCGCCUGUCAGCUUCUGCUGUGGGGCGUUUAGGGCGGGCGAUUCUCAUGCCGAAUUUAGCAGCUUACUAGAGCAAGGACUACCAAGUAUUUCCCAGUGGUGUGGUUUAUGGUGGCUGGGAGGGCCCUGGAAACUUCUGAAGACGGUGACUGCUGCCAGGUUUCCCAGUGGUGCUUCAGACAUUGUUCCUGAACCCCAUUAGGGGGACCAGCUGAGCCCCCUUCUGAUGUCUGCCUUGCUGGAUAGACAAAGAAGCAAAAGAUGUGAAGUGGUAGCCAGCUUCCCGAGAGAAAAGAUUUCCUUGGCUUCUCCUUUUCCUGGAUCCGAGCUCUCAACAAGGCCAGGUGUCGGUAGCCUGGCUUCUAGAACGUGACACAAACGGAGGCUGGCCCUUCACCUGUCUGUAGUGAUCUUACAGAGUCAAUGAGGUCUGUGCUUAGUCUCUGAGCAGGGUCUCCCCAGCUGCACCGGCAUCAGAAGUCAGUGGUUGGACCCAUUAAACCCGACUGUGCCCAUUUCUCGAGUUUCCCUCUUAGGCAGUUACAUCUAAGAACUUGCUCUUCUUACAAGGUUCCAGGUAGCACCAAGUUUCUAGACUCUCUCUAGUAGGUGGCACCUGGGAUGUCACCCAGCUUGGUGGCUAGCAGUUGGCUUGCCCUCCUCCUAGGCAGGAAGCUUUGCUGCUGAAACUGGUGUGGCCCUUGAUCCCUGACCCCUGGCCCCCUAGUGUGUUUCUCGUUUUGUUACUUUGAUAAGCCAUUUGGCCUCAGGUGCCGCGGCUCCUGCUGGCUUCCCCUAUUUGGGCCUCAGCUUCCAGCCUCUAGUCUUCUCUUUUCUCCUCACCCCUACAGUGAGUGCUGACGUGUGAGUCGGGGAGCCUGGAAGGCUUCCCUGAGUUGUUGCUGGAGGCAGAUUGGUGCCUAAUCAGGGUGCUUCUAGUCUGGCAGCUGUAGGUUAGAUGUGGACCUAGCUAGUGACCUUGGACCAUUGCCUCUCUUCCCCCUCCCCGGGUUAAAAAGACCACAAUACCUGCUGGAAAAGGUUGGUGGGAGGAUUAAGUGAGAUUAAGAGGGCCAGACUCCUGCUCUGACCUCACAACCAGUUGGCCUCCAUUGUGAUAAGGAUUGUUGCUGGGAGUGGUUGCUGCCUGCGCCGGUGGGGGCUGGGCUGUCUCCAGGGCUCCUCCCCGCCAGCCCACUUCCUGAAGCACGUGCUGGAGCCUCCAGGCAAAGGAGAAAGAAAACUGGCUUUGCUUGGGAAGGCAGCCAGCCCUGUUUUUCUUCUAGUGUUUGAGUCCAGGCUGUUCCCGGGGCUCCGUAGGCUGUCCUGUGGUUGGGUCGGGAUUUAAGGGCCACCCACCAAUAGCCCCAAGAGAAGAAAUGUCUCACCCAAGGUUAUGAGGCCACCACGGAGCAGAGCCUGGACAGGGUUCCAGGUGUCUUGAUUUUCAGCCCAGAACCUGGGCCCGUGACACCCCCUUGCCCAGCUGUCUGGGUUAUUUUAGGCUCCCUCCCGUGCCAGCUGUCUGCCUUUAUCACUGCCAGAGAGAGCUGUCUGGUAUAGCAAGGCUCCACAAUGGUCCCGUGGCUCCCGCUGGUGCAGAGGGCCAGGCAUCAAGUCCGUCGAUGAGCUGGCUUUCUGCUGGGAAGGCUGAACUCCUCACCCCUAUUGAGAAGGGGGGCGGGGAGAAGAGCGCUUUGCUAGGUUGGUCUCGUUCAUACUUUAGAUACCUGGUAAGCCUUGGAACACAACUGAUCAACCCUAAAGGCUCUGGUUAGAGUCCUUGGAUCUGGCUGGGGUCUUUAUCUCCUCCAGCCUCCCACUAAUUGAUUUAAGUCGCGCUGUGUCAGCUGUACCCUGGAGGGCUACAGGCUUUAGGGAGCAAUUAGGCGCUAAGCUGUGACGUGGUGCUUGAAAGGGGAAGAUGGAAGUGACCGGGACCAACUUGUGGCUUGCUCUCUACUUCAGGUCUUUUCCACCUCUCUCUCUCUCUCUCCUUUCUUUGGCCCCUUAUCACCUCCUGGGCUGUAGGGUGGGGCAGUUUGUCCUGCUGUUGUUCCUGGCCCCGAGGGGUGCCCCGCCUCCUGGUCACCCACGGAGCGUGGGGCGGAGCCGCUCUGGCCUGCAGAGAGAGGGCCACGCCAGCAGAAGGCUUGCCUGAACUGGGAGGUGGCUGUACUCGAUUUACUACACGAGAUUCCAGUGUCCCCGCCCCUUCCGGCUCCUCCACCUGGCCCCGAGCCCAAGUUUGGAAUAUGACCUUUUUAGACUCUCUGCAACCGAGGUGGGUCGGAGGACCCGCCAUCCCCGCUCUCCACGGCCCCCAGUGUUUUCUCGGAUUGUUCCGUGCCAAUGGGAACCAGGAGGGAAAGUUGAACAAAAACCUUCAGAGCUAUUAAAUUGUCGCGUGAUGGAGGAGGGUCUUGCUGUGUCCGGGCUAGUCCUAGUGACAGGUUAGGACCCUAGGUAUAUCCCUUUGUACCAACGUUCGCUGGUUUUCCGCCUGGCUUCCAGAAAUCACUAAGCCCAUCCUCUGCUUGUUCCCUGGAGCUGUUAAGUAGCUGAGACUUGGAGCGGUCAGGCUGCCUAACCAGGUAGAUAAGAUAGCCUGGCUUCACCCCUCUGCUAGAGUCUUUAUCUCCCCCCUCUUAUCCGUUCCAUCUGCAUUUGGAUAGCUCAAUAAUUGAUUUAUGGGGCCUCUGAAUAGGGGAGUGGUGGCCUUAGCCUCCCCCACCCAAAUUUGUACUUUGUCCUUAAAGGCUGCAGUCUGUUCUCCUCUGCCCCCCUGGAUCUGAGCUUUAGUCUCUGCAGUGACCACCUGACAGCUCCCUGAGGGGGGUUUGAGGCAAGAACCCACAGAAGCAAUUUCUUGCUUUCCUCUGCUCUCUAGGAAUUCCUGGACAAUGGAGAGUGCCCCAGGCCCCCUGAACAUCUUGCUGAUGAGGGAGUAAAGCCACCCUGGUUACAGAUCCAGCCCCACCAUCACCACCAGAGUUGAGUCCAAAUCCAACACUCUAGGCCGGGUAGUGCUGGGACUUUGCCAGCCUCCUGCUGAGAAGUGAAUUCUCCCCUUGGCAAACUGCAGCCAGCCAGCCUCCUGGGUCGAGAGCCAAGCCAAAAGAUGUCUGAGAGAAGAAACCUGGGGUCCUGCAAAGGUAAGUGGGUCCCAGCCCACUCUCAAUCCCCCUCUCUCUGUGUGAUUGCUAUUCCACACUGGAGUCACCUGCUCUGUGCUUCUGAGGAACCUCACCUCUGGCACAUCAAUGGAAAUUGUCCUUCCCUUUUUAUUUAUUUUUAUUUAUUUUUUAUUUUUUGCCACCCUCACUGGCCACUAAGAGAUAGCCCUAGCUCCUCCUCUCCUGCCUGGUUUUGACAGGACUCACUCCAUUGAGUCCUGUCUCGUCUCUUUGCAGCCCUCCUCCUCCCCCCCCCCCCCCUUCAGCCAGCACUUAGGCCCUCCCUGAUUUAGCCCGUUACCUUGACAACCACUUGGGCCUGUCUCCCUCAUCACCACUGAAAACCUGAAGGUGGUUUUCCAGCUGCGGUACAUUUGCCCAAGUUGGGCACCCCUCCAGCUUCUAUUGGCUCGCCCUCUAUACAGCUGUACCCAAUAUAACAAACACAACCUUCCUGGCCCCUCAGCUGUAGUCUCGAAAUUGAUCUCACUGGUCCCGGGAACUCCGUCAAUACUGCCUCCUCUAGACUGAGCUCCUCACAGGCAGGAACAUGGUUGUUUCUCAAUAAACAAGUUGCAAAAAAAG